rnacentral:misc_RNA from 1 species
AGUACUGUGUUCCUCAAGGAAGCCAAUGAUGUUUCGCAUUUAAUUGAUAAAUGUACAUUAUUGUUGUUUAGAGAUAAAUUUGUAGCACUUAGUGGUCAUAGGGAGAUCAAUUUGUGUAAUUAGAUGGCUUCAUGACUUUUUUUCAUUUCAUAUUAUGAUUUAUCCAUAAAAAAAUCUGUUAUUAAUUCCUGUCCAGCAAAAUCUAAAUAUCAUGGGAUUUGAACUGAUUAUUGUAGUUUGUGGCUGAUGUACAUGAUAGUUUUAGGUAUUUGUUGUCAUUGAAAUGAUGUUAGUAAGCAUAGUUGGUAGGUAAAUAAAAUGGAAGAAAGCAUUUUGUUGUCUACAUUCAUAAAGCUAAGGGCAAAAUUGACCACACAAAAAUUUUAAAAAAAUAUAUAUAUGAAACACCAAGCUUCCUUUAUUAUAUGGUAUAAAUU